rnacentral:lncRNA from 1 species
CUUAAGGCUUUGAGCGACACAGAAUUUAGAACAGCCACAUUAUUAUAGAUGAAGUCCCACACCAUAGCAGCGAAACCUUUAUGUCAUAUAUAAAUUUAUAGAUAAUAAUAACGAGUAGUUAUUUCUGAUGCAAGGUGAUUUGUAAAUUAGUCAGUCAGCAGUCAGCAGCCACCUGCACUGUCGGCUGCAAUGUCGAACGAGCCCAAAUUAAUCAAUACCAAUCAGGUGUUCGACGAAACGAUUCUUCAGACGUCAUUGAUCACGUGCUGCUGAUAAAGGGACACUGCUCUGAAUUAUACUUAGCGACAUUAGUACAUGCCUCAUAGCUCCAGUCUCAAACUUAACCCCGUUCCUGCUGAAGAAGAGGAGGUCUGCUGGAUGGAGAAGGAAGCUCUCGAGGAAGAGGAGGAGGCUGUUACAAUACAAAAAACAGUAGAGGUUGAGGCUGUUACAGUGAAAGAAGAAGAGAAAGAGAAUGUUGAUAUCAUGAUGGAGAGAGAUGUGACUAUCGUGGAUCCUCUGGAGGGCCUCAGGAUGCUGACAGGGCAGAGAAGAGUCCACGUCAAAACACUUCAAGAAACACCAGCAUAGACCCACAGGGAAGAAAUCUCAUUGCUGCUCUGACUGUGGGAAAGGUUGCAAAUCUUCAUCAGAACUUAAAAUACACCAGAGAACACACACAGGAGAGAAACCUUAUAGCUGUGAUCAAUGUGGAAAGAAUUUUACCAAGUAAAGAAGCCUGAUAUCACAGAAAACACACAGGAGAGAAACAAGAGAAACCUCAUAGCUGUAAUCAAUGUGGGAAGAGAUACUCUGAUUAAACAUCAGAAAAUACAUGGAAUUGUUUCAUGAUAUCAAUUAAAUAAUGUCACAAUGUAGAAUGUUUUAACAUUGUAGUAUGAGUAUUUUAAUGAUGUCACAAUGUAGAACCUUGUUCUAUUGAUUUCAGUUUGUUGUGGAUAUGAGCUUCAUCUGUAGAAACAUCUUUGUAAUUUGCUCUGUUCAUCUUUCCCUCGAUCCUGACUAGUCUCCCAGUCCCUGCCACUGAAAAACAUCCCCACAGCAUGAUGCUGCCACCACCAUGCUUCACUGUAGGGAUGGUGCCUGGUUUCCUCCAGACGUGAUGCUUUGCAUUCAGGCCAAAGUGUUUCAUCUUGGUUUCAUCAGACCGAGGAAUCUUGUUUCUCAUGGUCUCAGAGUCCUCUAAGUGCCUUUUGGCGAACUCCAAGCGUGCUAUCAUGUGCCCUUUACUGAGGAGUGGUUUCCGUCUGGCCACUAUAUCAUAAAGGCCUGAUUGGCGGAGUGCUGUAUAGAUGGUUGUCCUUCUGGAAGGUUCUCCCAUCUCCACAGAGAAACUCUGGAGCUCUGUCAGAGUGACCAGUGGGUUCUUGGUCACAUCCUUGAACAAGGCCCUUCUCCCCUAACAGAUCUGUUUGAAGAGUCUUGGUGGUUCCUAACCUCUUCCAUUUAAGAAUGUUGGAGGCCACUGUGUUCUUGGGGACCUUCAAUACUGCAGAAAUGUUUUUGGUACCCAUUUUUUGGUACCCCAUUUUUUUUUUUUUUGGUCCCCAGAUCUGUGCCUCUACAGAAUCCUGUCUCGGAGCUCUACGGACAAUUCCUUCGACCUCGUGGCUUGGUUUUUGUUCUGACAUGCACUGUUAACUGUGGGACCUUAUAUAGACAAAUCAAUCAAUUGAAUCUACCGCAGGUGGACUCCAAUCAAGUUGUAGAAACAUCUCAAGUAUGAUCAAUGGAAACAAGAUGCAGCUGAGCUCAAUUUCGACUCUCAUAGCAAAGGGUCUGAAUACUUAUGUAAAUAAGGUAUUUCUGUUUUGUCAUUAUGGGGUAUUAUGUCAUUAUGGGGUAUGGUGAUGUCAUUGUGGGGUAUGGUGUGUAGAUUAAUGAGGAACACUUAAUUUAAUCCGUUUUAGAAUAAGGGUGUAACAUAACAAAAUGUGGAGAAAGUCCAGGGGUCUGAAUACUUAUUAAAUGCUCUGAAUAUGCUGUUGGUUUACUGUUAUAAUAAGUUGUAUGACUACACCAAUACUGUUAGAGACUAUGCAGAGACCUAGAAAAUACAUGGCCAACCUUGCUGCUAGAGAUCUAGCUACUGGGUGUGCCGGUACUAACACCUGACAUUGUGCUGAUUAUUUGGAUUAGCCACUAUUCAGUAAUGUCUUGUUUUGGAGUCAGAUGGAUGUCUAAAUCCACUGCCCAUUUCCACAGGUGUUCUUCAUGAUAUUAAAUAAAGUGGUGAUUCACAGAAUGAAGUAGUGUCUUUUUGGGUCAUUGAACAUUCCCUGUUUGUCUUUUUUAUUUGGUUGUUACUCAAAUUUAGUCUGAUA